GGCUGAAAUUAGCCUUCAUGAAGCUGGAAUUGCUAGUAAUGGCAGGUCAGCAUACUGCCGUGAAUACGUUCCCGGGCCUUGUACACACCGCCCGUCACACCAUGAGAGUUGGAAAUACCCGAAGCCUGUGAGCUAACAGUAAUGAGGCAGCAGUCGAAGGUAGAGCCAAUGAUUGGGGUGAAGUCGUAACAAGGUACC
rnacentral:rRNA from 1 species